rnacentral:rRNA from 1 species
ACUACGAUUUCUUCGGAAUGACGGUCUUGUGACUGAGUGGCGGACGGGUGAGUAACGCGUGGGUAACCUACCUCACACAGGGGAAUAACAGUUAGAAAUGACUGCUAAUACCGCAUAAGCGCACGGUACCGCAUGGUACAGUGUGAAAAACUCCGGUGGUGUGAGAUGGACCCGCGUCUGAUUAGCUAGUUGGUGAGGUAACGGCCCACCAAGGCGACGAUCAGUAGCCGGCCUGAGAGGGUGAACGGCCACAUUGGGACUGAGACACGGCCCAAACUCC